AUGCUGUGAGCUCGAUGAGUAGGGCGGGACACGUGGUAUCCUGUCUGAAUAUGGGGGGACCAUCCUCCAAGGCUAAAUACUCCUGACUGACCGAUAGUGAACCAGUACCGUGAGGGAAAGGCGAAAAGAACCCCGGCGAGGGGAGUGAAAAAGAACCUGAAACCGUGUACGUACAAGCAGUGGGAGCACCCUUUGGGGUGUGACUGCGUACCUUUUGUAUAAUGGGUCAGCGACUUAUAUUCUGUAGCAAGGUUAACCGUAUAGGGGAGCCGGAGGGAAACCGAGUCUUAACCGGGCGUUAAGUUGCAGGGUAUAGACCCGAAACCCGGUGAUCUAGCCAUGGGCAGGUUGAAGGUUGGGUAACACUAACUGGAGGACCGAACCGACUAAUGUUGAAAAAUUAGCGGAUGACCUGUGGCUGGGGGUGAAAGGCCAAUCAAACCGGGAGAUAGCUGGUUCUCCCCGAAAGCUAUUUAGGUAGCGCCUCGUGAAUUCAUCUCCGGGGGUAGAGCACUGUUUCGGCUAGGGGGCCAUCCCGGCUUACCAACCCGAUGCAAACUGCGAAUACCGGAGAAUGUUAUCACGGGAGACACACGGCGGGUGCUAACGUCCGUCGUGAAGAGGGAAACAACCCAGACCGCCAGCUAAGGUCCCAAAGUCAUGGUUAAGUGGGAAACGAUGUGGGAAGGCCCAGACAGCCAGGAUGUUGGCUUAGAAGCAGCCAUCAUUUAAAGAAAGCGUAAUAGCUCACUGGUCGAGUCGGCCUGCGCGGAAGAUGUAACGGGGCUAAACCAUGCACCGAAGCUGCGGCAGCGACACUCAGGUGUUGUUGGGUAGGGGAGCGUUCUGUAAGCCUGCGAAGGUGGCCUGUGAGGGUUGCUGGAGGUAUCAGAAGUGCGAAUGCUGACAUAAGUAACGAUAAAGCGGGUGAAAAGCCCGCUCGCCGGAAGACCAAGGGUUCCUGUCCAACGUUAAUCGGGGCAGGGUGAGUCGACCCCUAAGGCGAGGCCGAAAGGCGUAGUCGAUGGGAAACGGGUUAAUAUUCCCGUACUUGGUGUUACUGCGAAGGGGGGACGGAGAAGGCUAUGUUGGCCGGGCGACGGUU
rnacentral:rRNA from 1 species